GGUGCGGCGGAUAGAGAAGGGCGAGUCGGCGUGACGGCGGUUUCCGCAGCGGGUCCUGGUCCAGUGAUGGAGAUUGGUGACACCCUGGAGAAGCUGAAACCAGAGAGCCUCUUGUUUUCCCUUUUUCUCUGUCUACACUCUGUCCUCACCUACACUACGUUUCUGCUGUGGUCGGGGGUUGAUGACCUCAAUAUGAGUUUUGAUUGUUAAAUGUUUUUGUUUGGGGAAGUAACUUUUGUUUGGAAAAAGCUCUCACAUACAGGAAUUAGGGCCUAGAUUGUGAGCUCUUGCGGCAGUCACAUUUGUUCCUGGGUUUGGUUGUUAUUUCUGAAUUUUGAGGUGCUUUGCUCUUUCUAGUGUGACCUGAUAGCUCCCUGGAACUUUGGGUCUGUGUGCAACACAUAUGAGACUCAGUGUUCUCCAGCUCUGGAGGUGCCCAAGGAGCUGCAUGGACUCCGAAGACCACUCCAUGCAGCAGCUGCUGAGGAAGGGGCCAGACUUGGACUGGGAAUGCGGAUGGGCCUGACCUGGCUAGGACUGAUGAGUCUGGAGAACGGGUGGAGGAUGGUAUUGUUUGUAUUGGGGGACUUUAAUUUCUGUGUGAGACCAAAGGCGGAGAGAUGUAUUUUGUUCAAAAUUUAAAUUUUAUGUGGUACACUAUCGGAUGUAACCUGUCUCGUGGGUUUGUUUGGACAACCUAACUCAGCUCUAUUUGCCAUGGAACCUAGAGUAGGAGGUGAGAUCUUGGUGUUCUGUAUGGGUUGAUGUGACACCCAUAUGUAUUUUAGGGGAUAUUGGACAUAAAAUGAAAGAUAUUUGCAAAGACCCUUCAGGGGCUGGAAAGGGAAGCCUGGAACUGUCUGCAUUGAACUCUUAAACUGGACAGGGAAGAGGCAUCUUCAAGGUUCAUAUGUUGUCCAGCUAUAAGUUUAUUUGAAUAGCAGGCCUGCUAAGUAUUUGAGGUCAAAACCCUACCAUGUUUAAAAAAGUAAACAAACUUACCAUGUUAAUAAAAGUAUUCAUUUGCUUGAAAAGACA